rnacentral:rRNA from 1 species
AGUGAACGCUGGCGGCAGGCCUAACACAUGCAAGUCGAACGGCAGCACAAGAGAGCUUGCUCUCUGGGUGGCGAGUGGCGGACGGGUGAGGAAUGCAUCGGAAUCUGCCCAUUUGUGGGGGAUAACCUCGGGAAACCGGGACUAAUACCGCAUACGACCUACGGGUGAAAGCAGGGGAUCUUCGGACCUUGCGCAGAUGGAUGAGCCGAUGCCGGAUUAGCUAGUUGGAGGGGUAAAGGCCCACCAAGGCGACGAUCCGUAGCUGGUCUGAGAGGAUGAUCAGCCACACUGGGACUGAGACACGGCCCAGACUCCUACGGGAGGCAGCAGUGGGGAAUAUUGGACAAUGGGCGAAAGCCUGAUCCAGCCAUGCCGCGUGUGUGAAGAAGGCCUUCGGGUUGUAAAGCACUUUUGUUGGGAAAGAAAAGCAGCCGGUUAAUACCCGGUUGUCAUGACGGUACCCAAAGAAUAAGCACCGGCUAACUUCGUG